rnacentral:lncRNA from 10 species
GUGAAACCUAAAUUCCUGGUCCUGUUUGUUCUGGCCAGCCUGCUUCCUGGGUCUCAGUGAUCUUCCAUCACUCUCCCUCCUUUCUUCUCAGACACAGCUCAGGGUUUGAUGUGAGCUAUCCUGCCUGCAAUGCUUCAGCACUGCCAAUUUUACUGGGCAUAACAUUGCCUUAUUGUAUGCCUCGCCCAGCAUCUAUUUCUGAUGUUUACUUGUCUACUUGUUUAUGUCUCUCUUACUAGAACCUGGUUGCCAAGAGCAGGACCUGUAUAUCUGAAGUAACACCAUACCUGCAGUGCCUAGUACAGUGCUGGCCCAGCACACAAGUGCUCAACAAUGUGUGCUGAAAGGCUGAAUGAGAGUCACCAAAGGGUGGUGGAGAGCCAUGGAAGGGUUUUAUUUUCUUUAAUGUUUUUUCCUUUAUUUAUAUAGAGAUAGGGUCUUGCUAUGUGGCCCAGGCUGCUCUCAAACUCCUGGGCUCAAGCGAUCCUCCCGCUGGGAUUACAGGCAUGAGCCACCACGCCUAGCCUAUGGAAGGGUGUUAAAGCAGAAAAUGGCUUGGUCUGGUUUGUGCUUUAGAAAGGAUGUGUGGAAAGGGAGAGACAGGAGGAGCUGGGGAAGGGGGCCUGAUGCAAUAGUCCAAUGAGAAUAAACAGCUUUGAGAGAAGUUGGGAGGUAAAAUCAACAGGACUUGUAGACGGGGGUGGGAGAAAGGUAGGGAGGUGUCAGGGAUGACUCCCAGGUUUCGGGCUUGGGCAACUGGGUGGAUGACCAUUCACUGACACGGGGACACCGGAGGAGGAACAAGUUUGGGGCUUGCCAAGUUUGAGGUGUUCAUAGGACAGUCAGAUGGAGGUGUUGGGAGGACAGUUGGAUUGCCCUUUCCCUGGCACAGCAGGGUGAACUUUAAAGAUGUAAAUAUGAAGGGAAGGGCUGAACCUCAGAAGAUGUAAAUAUGCGGGGAGGGCUGAACCUCAGAAGAGAGGUCAGGGCUGUGGUCCCCUCUCACAGGAACACAACUGGGGCGCACUAACUUAUCCCGGAGGUAGGGUCAGCUAGGGAGGUGGCUGACACACCCUGGAGGGCUCGCCUUGGAGGAGCUGGGGUGCACAUAAUUCACCCUGGACUGGGACUGGAACCCAGGACUUCCCCCACCUGCUCCUCGGAUGUGGACAACCCCUCAAGCACACAGAGCCCUGGCUUCAUCUGUCCGGGCACACAGCGUGCCCACACUUGGCUCAUGCAGACCUGAGGAGAACCAGGUGAGAGGAUGGAGGGUUGAGCGCAGACGCCGCUGCCCAAACCUGACCGCCAGCCCCACCUGAGGUCCUUCUCACCGAGCUGACUUCGCAGAUAGCCCGCGUCUUGCGACACUGAGCGGCGCUCAGGCAAGAAGAGCCACAGGACCUCAGAAGCCUGACCUUCUAUGGGCCCAGAGCCCAGUUUACUAAGAGGAUUAAUCUCACCGAGCCUGUCAGCCCACAGCCAGCACCACUUCCUCCAGGAAGCCAUCCAGGAUCUCCCCAUCAGAGCGGUCUCUCCGUUUUCAGAGGAUACAUUUUGUCUCUCUCACAGCAUUUAGCAUUACAUAUUUUAAAAUCCUUGUAUAAGUUAUUUACAAUGGUAUUUCAGAUUUCUCUCUGAAGGUACAGAUAGUAUCUCAUGUGUCUUCUACAGAGCUCAGCACUAUUGCUAUACAUAGUAGGUACUCAAUGGUGAGUAAAUAAAGAAGGAGCUAAUACCUAUCAAGCUUCUACCCAAUGGCA